rnacentral:rRNA from 1 species
ACUACGGGAGGCAGCAGUGGGGAAUAUUGCACAAUGGUGGAAACCCUGAUGCAGCGACGCCGCGUGAAGGAAGAAGUAUUUCGGUAUGUAAACUUCUAUCAGCAGGGAAGAAAAGCACGGUACCUGACUACGAAGCCCCGGCUAACUACGUGCCAGCAUCAGCGGGAAUACGGAGGGGGCAGUAGUUAUCCGGAUUUACUGGGUGUAAAGGGAGCGUAGGCGGUUUAGCAAGUGAGAAGUGAAAGCCCGGGGGUCAACUCCGGGACUGCUUUUGAAACUGUUGAACUAGAGUGCGGGAGAGGUAGGUGGAAUUCCUAGUGUAGCGGUGAAAUGCGUAGAUAUUAGGAGGAACACCAGUGGCGAAGGCGGCUUACUGGACUGUAAAUGACGCUGAGGCUCGAAAGCGUGGGGAGCAAACAGGAUUAGAUACCCGGGUAGUC